UGAACCAUACGUGAGAGGAACAUUGUCUCC
rnacentral:piRNA from 1 species